GCAUCAUGAUUUACAUUUGAGUGAGUGGCGAACUGGUGAGUAACACGUGGGAAACCUGCCCAGAAGCGGGGGAUAACACCUGGAAACAGAUGCUAAUACCGCAUAACAACUUGGACCGCAUGGUCCGAGCUUGAAAGAUGGCUUCGGCUAUCACUUUUGGAUGGUCCCGCGGCGUAUUAGCUAGAUGGUGGGGUAACGGCUCACCAUGGCAAUGAUACGUAGCCGACCUGAGAGGGUAAUCGGCCACAUUGGGACUGAGACACGGCCCAAACUCCUACGGGAGGCAGCAGUAGGGAAUCUUCCACAAUGGACGAAAGUCUGAUGGAGCAACGCCGCGUGAGUGAAGAAGGGUUUCGGCUCGUAAAACUCUGUUGUUAAAGAAGAACAUAUCUGAGAGUAACUGUUCAGGUAUUGACGGUAUUUAACCAGAAAGCCACGGCUAACUACGUGCCAGCAGCCGCGGUAAUACGUAGGUGGCAAGCGUUGUCCGGAUUUAUUGGGCGUAAAGCGAGCGCAGGCGGUUUUUUAAGUCUGAUGUGAAAGCCUUCGGCUCAACCGAAGAAGUGCAUCGGAAACUGGGAAACUUGAGUGCAGAAGAGGACAGUGGAACUCCAUGUGUAGCGGUGAAAUGCGUAGAUAUAUGGAAGAACACCAGUGGCGAAGGCGGCUGUCUGGUCUGUAACUGACGCUGAGGCUC
rnacentral:rRNA from 1 species